UCGAGAAUCUUCGGCAAUGGGCGCAAGCCUGACCGAGCGACGCCGCGUGUGGGAUGAAGGCCUUCGGGUUGUAAACCACUGUCAGAGGGGAUGAAAUGCAGGUGGGUUCUCCCAUCUGUUUGACAUAGCCUCAGAGGAAGGACGGGCUAAGUUCGUGCCAGCAGCCGCGGUAAGACGAACCGUCCAAACGUUAUUCGGAAUUACUGGGCUUAAAGGGUGCGUAGGCGGCGCGGAAAGUUGGGUGUGAAAUCCCUCGGCUCAACCGAGGAACUGCGCCCAAUACUACCGUGCUUGAGGGAGAUAGAGGUGAGCGGAACUUAGGGUGGAGCGGUGAAAUGCGUUGAUAUCCUAAGGAACACCGGUGGCGAAAGCGGCUCACUGGAUCUCUUCUGACGCUGAGGCACGAAAGCUAGGGUAGCGAACGGGAUUAGAUACCCACGUAGUCCCUGAGCGGGCUGGCAAGGCGCAU
rnacentral:rRNA from 1 species